CAUAAAAACAGAGUUUUGCUUUAAGGAGGAGGAAUCCGUAACUGUAUUCGGUUUGAUUCUAGAGAGGAGGUUUGUUUUUGAUUUAACAUUUACAGAAUUGUUUUAUUUAUUUUUUGUGGAAGCACUUUUCCAGCGUUUCCAUGGCUUUCUGGUGCGGUUGCAUCCAUAAAGCCGGAAAACCUGUAAAAUCUUUGUUUCCACUCCGCCACCAUGUUACGAAGUUUAAAGCAACUGGAGCCAGACAGAUGCUUUUUUUGCCUCAUAACUCAAGUGGACUCUGAUGAAGGUUGGUUCUGGAUCCUUUGACUUCAGACGGACUCUCACAGACUUGUCUGUACCGUACCGGAGGACAGUUUUUGUCUGGAAACGUCUUCGUUCUGUCUUCAGGCAUCAAGAACUGUGCAGAGCCCUGCAUAGAGAUGAGUCGGAGUAGACUCGACCUUUUUCAGGCCACGGUUUGAUAUCAGACAAUAUUUUCACAGUUCAAGGAUGAAAAGAUCGUCUGAUUUAUUUAUUGGCUUCCAGUUUCCCUUAACUUUUGAUGGUAAAGUUCAUCUUCAUCCUCUGUAUUUUGUGAAUGAACGAUCCCUGUAACAUUAGACAGCCGUUUACUGAAUAUUUAUUAUUAUUAUUAUCAUCAGUGGACACAACAAUAACAAUAAAUUGGAGUAAAGACUCCUGCUUUUUUGUCUUUUACAUGCAUUUAUUCAUUUAGUUUUUGUUAACUUUGUUAGUCUGGAGGCUUUAAUUUAGCAGUUGGUCCAGCCGCUUUAAGAAAGUACUGGAUGGAUUUUCAACACAAUUGAGCGACUCAACAUGCAUCAAAACUGAGUCUGAUAAAGUUUAAGAGAAUCCAGGAGUUUUCCAAAAUAAAGCUUUCUUCAGAAUCUGAUUAGAAAUAAGAUGGAAAAUUUGUAGGUUGUAU